rnacentral:misc_RNA from 1 species
UCUCCGUUGGUGAACCAGCGGAGGGAUCAUUACAGAGUUAUCCAACUCCCAAACCCAUGUGAACUUAUCUCUUUGUUGCCUCGGCGCAAGCUACCCGGGACCUCGCGCCCCGGGCGGCCCGCCGGCGGACAAACCAAACUCUGUUAUCUUAGUUGAUUAUCUGAGCGUCUUAUUUUAAUAAGUCAAAACUUUCAACAACGUAUCUCUUGGUUCUGGCAUCGAUGAAGAACGCAGC